rnacentral:rRNA from 1 species
GGGGCGCAGGAAGGAUCAUGGAGAGUUUGAUCCUGGCUCAGAACGAACGCUGGCGGCGCGUCUUAAGCAUGCAAGUCGGGCGGCGAGGUGGUGGCUUGCCACCACCCUAGAGCGGCGGACUGGUGAGUAACGCGUAGGUGACGUACCCUCCGGACGGGGACAGCCCCUAGAAAUAGGGGGUAAUACCGGAUACGGCCGCGGGCGCUAGGGGCCUGCGGGGAAAGGGGCUUCGGCCCCGCCGGGGGAUCGGCCUGCGUCCCAUCAGCUAGUCGGCGGGGUAACGGCCUGCCGAGGCGACGACGGGUACCCGGCCUAAGAGGGCGGACGGGCACAUUGGGACUGAGAUACGGCCCAGACUCCUACGGGAGGCAGCAGCUAAGAAUAUUCCGCAAUGGGGGGAACCCUGACGGAGCGACGCCGCGUGGACGACGAAGGCCGGAAGGUUGUAAAGUCCUUUGGCCCGCGAGGAAUAAGCGCGCAGGUAAUGGCGCGCGGUGACUGUAGCGGGAGAACAAGCACCGGCUAAUUACGUGCCAGCAGCCGCGGUAACACGUAAGGUGCGAGCGUUGUUCGGAAUUAUUGGGCGUAAAGGGCACGCAGGCGGCGCCGCAAGCCUGGAGUGAAAUGCCGGGGCUCAACCCCGGGACUGCUCUGGGAACUGCGGCGCUGGAGUCAGCGAGGGGCAGCCGGAAUUCCAGGUGUAGGGGUGAAAUCUGUAGAUAUCUGGAAGAACACCGAUGGCGAAGGCAGGCUGCCGGCGCAUGACUGACGCUCAGGUGCGAAGGUGCGGGGAGCGAACAGGA